rnacentral:rRNA from 1 species
GGUAAUUCUAGAGCUAAUACAUGCUGAAAACCCCAACUUCGGGAGGGGUGUAUUUAUUAGAUAAAAAACCAACGCCCUUCGGGGCUUCUUGGUGAUUCAUGAUAACUUUACGGAUCGCAUGGCCUUGCGCCGGCGACGGUUCAUUCAAAUUUCUGCCCUAUCAACUUUCGAUGGUAAGGUAUUGGCUUACCAUGGUUUCAACGGGUAACGGGGAAUUAGGGUUCGAUUCCGGAGAGGGAGCCCGAGAAACGGCUACCACAUCCAAGGAAGGCAGCAGGCGCGCAAAUUACCCAAUCCCGAUACGGGGAGGUAGUGACAAUAAAUACUGAUACAGGGCUCUUUUGGGUCUUGUAAUUGGAAUGAGUACAAUUUAAACCUCUUAACGAGGAACAAUUGGAGGGCAAGUCUGGUGCCAGCAGCCGCGGUAAUUCCAGCUCCAAUAGCGUAUAUUAAAGUUGUUGCAGUUAAAAAGCUCGUAGUUGAACCUUGGGUCUGGCUGGCAGGUCCGCCUCACCGCGUGUACUUGUCCGGCCGGGCCUUCCUUCUGGAGAACCUCAUGCCCUUCACUGGGCGUGUUGGGGACCAGGACUUUUACUUUGAAAAAAUUAGAGUGUUCAAAGCAGGCCUUUGCUCGAAUACGUUAGCAUGGAAUAAUAGAAUAGGACGUGCGGUCCUAUUUUGUUGGUUUCUAGGACCGCCGUAAUGAUUAAUAGGGACAGUCGGGGGCAUCAGUAUUC